UACGGGGGGGGCAAGCGUUGUUCGGAAUUACUGGGCGUAAAGGGCUCGUAGGCGGCCAACUAAGUCAGACGUGAAAUCCCUCGGCUUAACCGGGGAACUGCGUCUGAUACUGGAUGGCUAGAGUCCGGAAGAGGAGAGUGGAAUUCCUGGUGUAGCGGUGAAAUGCGCAGAUAUCAGGAAGAACACCCGUGGCUAAGGCGGCUCUCUAGUACGGUACUGACGCUGAGACGCGAAAGCGUGGGGAGCGAACAGG
rnacentral:rRNA from 1 species